CGACCUCCCCAGCCACGUGGAACUAUAAAUCCAUUAAACCUCUUUUUCUUCCCAGUCUCAGGUAUGCCUUUAUCAGCAGCAUGAAAACAGGCUAAUAUAUACCCCCAAAGUUAGAUACUUUAUCAUAUUUCAAUUGUGUGGAUUUGGGAUUUGCGUGACUCAGCUGGUUGAUUCUCUUGAUGAAUGUGGCACCAACUGAGGUCACUCCAUGGUAAUCAUCCUGUAGGUGUGCUGGGCUGGUCUAGAGAUCCCAGGAUGGCUUCACUUACAUGUCUGGUGACAUUGGCUGGUGGGGGCUGGCUGCAAGGCUGGGCUUAGCUGGGACCACCAGCCAGAGCUCCCGAACAUGGCUUCUCCAACCUGGUGGUAUUAGGGCAGUUGAUUACAUGGCAAUUUCAAGCUCCCAGAGAGAGUGUCCUAAGACAGGCAAGGUGAACUGCCACCCUGUUAAGGCCCAGGCCCAGAAACUGACAAGCACCACUUCUGCUGUAUUCUAUUGGUCAAGCAGUCACCCCACCUCACCUCUCCAUGCAGGUAGCAUCAAGGAAUUUGGGACCAUCUUCAAUCCACUACAAUCCCCAUUCUCCAAUUGCAGUCCCUUCCCCCACAGGCAGCCUUUAUGUGCUCUGACAUUCAUCCUUGAAUUUGAACAUAGUAUCUAACGUAAGUUACCUAAAUCUGUGUAGACAUUUCCUCCCUUGCUUCUGACUGAUAGAUGCUUCUCCAAGGUGUGCACCCACCACAUUUACUUCUAUCUUCCCCAGGAAUGGGCACCUGAGUGGCCAACGCCCCUGCCAGACAGCUCUCCAGAGUGGCUGCACCUUCUCAUACUCCCUGGCAAAGAACAAGGGUUCCUCUUUCCCCGACACUCCAGCCAACACUUGGCAUUAGCUGACUUUCUAAUUUUUGCUAAACUGAUAAGUGUACAGAGUAAAGUUUCAUGUUGAACUUUUAAAACAAGGGGGGACAUAUAGAGGAAAAAGGAUAGGAAGGAAAGCGGUUAGGAGGGAAGGAAAAUGGCAGCUGGCUAAGUGGGAAGAAUUGGAAAGUCAAGUUUUCUGGACUGCACAGUACCCUACGGAAUCCUAGAGGCCAUCAGAGUAGCUGCAGGUCACCUUGUGGAAAAGUGCAAAAUACAGUUAGACAUUUGGAAUUUGGCUUUCUGGCAGCCUGGCUGGAAGGUGUUGAUUCCACAGGGCCAAGGCUGGCUGUGCCUGCCUCCCUCUGGGUCCUGGAAGCUGAGGGAGGGUGAACCAGCCUCCAGUUCCCAGGUUCUUAUGCUCACGAGAUUUUGCUCCUUCUAUUUAUCUCUCAGUCCUUUUCUGGCGGCCAGAGAGUCCGUCUUUAGCGGGGACCUGUACAGUAUUGUGUUAAUCUUCAGCUCUCUCUGUUUCCUCUCUGUUCCCUUCCUCCCUUCCUCUUCUCCUCCACCACACAGAACAGAUGUGGAAAAAGCCAGGCCUUUAGGAACAUCUGCUGAGACACCAGCUGCCUUCCUCCCGGGCUAAGGAAACUGUGACCCCUCUGAUUAUUGGGUUUCAUCCAAGGACCUCAGUUCUCUGGCCAGAAUAUUUGCAUCGAAGUCAGCAAGGUCUUCUAGCUAUUUAAGAGAAUUUGCUAAAUCCCUGAAGAUUUGUACAUAUAGAAAGAAGGGAGAGAUGCUAUUUUUAAAACAUUGGCUGCAGUUGGAGCUGGCUUGCCCAGAAGUGCAGAAUUCCCAAUGCUUCCCAGGGAGCGUGCAUCACUCUCGGAAAUACCUGUACACAUAGGAGCGGUAUAGGAAAAAUGAGUUGAACUGUUCUGAUUAAGAAAGGGACUGCAAUUUGGAACUUGAUCAGCAGCUGCAUGCUGACUGCUAGAGGAAGAAGGGUUUGUUUCUGUUUUUAUUUCUUUGUUUUUUUUGGGAGUGGACAAAGUGAUUUCUGAAAGAGAGUGAGAGGGCCUGGAAGUACCAAUGAGGCAGAGGGAAUUGGAGGAGGAAACAGGCCAGUGAUAAAUUCCUCCUAGCAGGAGUACCCCGCCCAGAUGGGGACUUCAGUGUGGAAUCAUUUACUUUGGGGAUGACACCUCUUGUUAACUGCAGACCUGCAGGAAACAUCUGCUAAACUUGACAGCUGUGUGCUGCUGGUGGUCAUUGAAAGACCAGCAUUAAGUUGACAGGCAGAAAGAAAAAGAAGUCCCAGGGGGAGGAAAGGAAUGAGAUGGAGGGCUCAGUGUGAACAGGAAAUCAGAGCCAGGGAUGACCAGUAAAAUACAAGCCCUGGGGGAAUCUAGAAACAUCUUGGAAAGGGCCCAAAGCUUUUCCAUAACAUGUGGACUGGGAGGCUCUCGGGAAGGACCCCAGACUGGUGAACUUGGCAGUACGCAAGCUGAAGGCAUCUGGCAUACACACGAGUGGGUGCACACACGCACAUGCACACACACACGCACACAUGCACACACCCCAGAUCCUCUAGAGUAGUGGUCCUCAAUCUUGGCUGCACUUUUGAAUUGCCUGGGAGUUUUAAAAAUGCCAGAGCCUACCCUCACCCCAAUGCCACCAAACCAAUGGCAUCAGAAUCUGUGGGAAUCAGACCCGCACAUCAGGUUUUCAAAGCUCCCAGGGCUGAACAGCAUUGUUCUACAGCCUGACAGCUCCAGCUGCCUGGAGAGCAGAUGCCAUUUACAGUCUCCUGCAACCAAAGACUCACCGGAACCAUCGUGCCUUUCCAUCACACACCGUACCCAGGCCUUCUCCCUUCCUUUCUCACCACCUCCCCUACCCGCUUCCCAACAGAUCUCCUCCCAUAGUCACCGAUGAGACACAGGCACCCAGUGGAAUUUAAGCCUGAGAGAAACCACAAAUAAUUUUGUUUAAUAUAAGUAUAAGCUGUGUAAAAUUAGUAGAUACCAUGCAACAUACUCAUACUAAAAGUUACUUGUGAUUUCUCUAAAAUUCAAAUUUAAGCAGGCAUCCUGUGAUUUUAGUUGCUAAAUCUGACAACCCUAGCUAGAGACAACUUAAAAACAAAUAGAAAAUUUUCUUCCUCGACAAGGGACAGAGAUUUGGCACCACCACUAGCACCAGACCCAGAGUCAAAGCCCAGGGCUCCUGGGCUGAGCCCCUGGAAGAAUCAGGAAAGCUUUUCGCCUUCCCCACACGUCCUGCAGGCGCGCAGUACUGCGAGGUAUCACCACCAGAGGGCGCACUCUGAGCAGGCGGGAGGAGCUAGCAAGGACAAGACCCCAACCCACCGAGCAUUGGUGUUCAACUGGUGGGGUCCAGGGACAUUUCUUCUUCUUCUAAACUAAAUGAUCUCGAAGACACCUGAGAUUCAGUGAGAGAGAAGGGUGAGCCCAGGGUAGAAUGGUGAGACUCAAAACCUGGCAGGUUUCUUUUACAGGGAUUUAUUGCUUUGAUUUUUUUUUUAAUUGCACAAAUAAAACAGUCAAACCAUUCAGAAUUCAAUGUGGAAGUCCUCCUUUUAAUGUCCCCAUUCCACCUGCCUCACAUGUGUGUCAUGGAUCUUCCUAUUUCUACUUCUACGCACGUGUGUGUGUGCGCGCACGUGUGUGUAAUUUGGGUUUGUUGGUUAAAUUCUUUACACAAAUCCCAUCUGAAUAUGUAUGUAGAUAGAUAAUUUCUAGAAAUUUCUUUUUUCAUCUAAUAAAUUUUCAUGUAAUAAAUAACUUUUGAGGAGGACCACUCUGUGAUAUACGCAAUAUUAAUUUCAUUUAAUCUUCACAAUGACCCUAUGAGGUAGGGGCUAGUGUUAUCAUGCAUUAUACAGAUGGAGAAACUGUGACACAGAAAGGCUAAGUGAGUUGCACAAGAUCACACAGCAAGUAAGUGGCAAAGCUGGGAUUUAAACCUAGGCCAUAUGGCUUUGGAGCACGAAUGCUUAAUUACUCUUCUGCAUUACUUGACUUUAACCAUUGCAUCACAGUCUAGCCUGGAGAUGGACCAUAGUAUAUUUAUAGCCACUCCCCUUUUGAUCCAUAUGCAGGCUGUGCCCAGGGUUCCACUAGUAUGAAAAAGGACGCAGAGGAGAGCGUUGUGCGGCAGCCAGAGGGGUUCUUGCAGGGUAGCGGCCCAGCUGUGGAGUAUGCACAGGUUACAUUCCAACAAAUACUGUUAGAUUUUAUUCCCAAGAGGUUGAAACAUUCCCAUUCCCAGCAGUUGUGUUAGAGUGCCCAUCCUCCUUGGUGCCAUCAAGGGCAUGCAGGCAGAAGGAACAGACUGUGGAGAGGAGCAGGGAUAUGGUUUGGGGAAUGGCAAGAAGUCUAGUGAGGUUGAAGGUUGGGUUGUACUUGCUGGUUGUGAAUGUAAUCUAUUUUAUGCUCUGCAAAUUUGAUACACAAUACCACGACAUUUCAUUGUAGUUUUUGUUUGCAUUUCCCCAAUUGCAGGGAAACAAAAUCAUCUUUCUGUAUGUUUAUGAGCCAUUUGUGUUUUUUCUCCUGUAAACUUUAUGUUCAUAUUUUUGCACUUUCCCAAAGGGAUGUUUAUCUUCUUGGUUUGUAGGUGCUCUAAUAUUAUGGGAUGUUAGUCUUUUGUCAGUUACAUUGGCUACAAAUAUUAUGUCAUGGUGUGUUGCUCUUACAAACUCAAGUUUUAAUGAUAGUAACCUGGAUUGUCAAAUGUGACAACAGGCUUUCUCAGUCACAGCUGUGGAACGUGUAACAGAGACAACCUCUCUGAAGGGCAGCUUGAUAAUAGAUACCAAAUGUGCUUUAAAUCGUGUACACUUGCUGAUGCUGGUAUUCUAUAUCCAUCCUAAGGAAAGAUCAGGGAUAUAGAUAGCAAGUUAGCUCCAAAGAUGGUCAUUCCAGUUUUGUUAAUGAUGUAACAAUUUGAGAACUUUUACAUGUCCAGCAAUAGGGCACUGGAAAAAUCAAUUACAUCUUAAUCAUUGGCAGGAAUAUAAUGUUACCGUUAAAAAAGAUGCAAUAAAACUGCGUUUUUGACUGUACUAGUAAAUGAAAAAAUUGAUAGCAUGAAAGAUUUUGUCCAGUAUUAUUCCACUUUUGUAAAAAUGUUUAAAGUUCAGACUGAUAAGAUAUGCCCCAAAAUGUUGAUAAUGAUUUUUCUCUGAAUGGGGCUACUAUGGGGUAGUCUUGACUGUCUUGUUUUUGCUACUCUAAAUUUUUUUAAAAUUUCACAAAUAACAUGAAUUACUUUUAUAAUAAAUAUAUAUUUGUAAAAUUAUACAUAUAUAUGUAUAUAUGUAUGUGUGCACAUAUAUAUACACACACACAUAUACAUAUAUUUAUACCUAAUUUUUUCUUUUGACUAUUGGAGGUAGAGAGCUACCAGGUCUUCAAUGAACCUUACCUCCUGUUAUUCAUGCUUUCGUGUCCUCUUUUCUGAAACGGAAUCAGAGCUGGUCAGUGUUACCAGUAGAACACUGCAGAAGUGACGGUGUGUCACAUCCAAGGCUAAGUCAUAAGGGCACUGUGACUUCCACCUUUGCUCUUGAAUCACUUGCCCUGGGGAAGCCAGCUACCAUGUUGUGAGGCUGCUCAAGUAGCCUUGUGGAGAGGCCCACGUGGAGAGAAAACAAGGCCUUUGCUGCAGCCAGCACCAACUUGCCAACCAUCUGAGUCAGUCACCUCGGAAGUGGAUCCUCCAGCCUUCAGAUGACCACUGUCCCAGCUCAUAUCUAGACUGCAACCUCAUGAAAGACCUGGAUCCAGAGCACCCAGCUAAGCUGUUCCUGAAUUCCCAACUCACAGAGACUGUGAAAGAUAAUGCAUGUUUGUGUCUGUUUUUAGUCACUAGGUUUUGGCUGUGAUGUAACAGUAGAUAGCUGAUACAAAGUUUAGUACCAGAAGUGGGGUGCGGAUGGAACAUAAACCUACCAAUGUGGGAGUGUCUUUGGAACUGAGCAGAGGGCAGAAGCUGAAACGACUUUGAAGAAAGUGUCAGAGAAAGCCUAAAGUGCAUUGGAGAGGCCAGUAGUGGGAGGAGGAUGUUGGUGAGGGUUUAUAGGAAAGUGAGAACAAAGCAUUCUCACUUUCAAGAAAGGUGAUUCUUGUUAUGGAGAGGCAGAAAUUAAGCAACACUGCAGCAAGAUGGAAAGCUCAUAAAUGGAAUGAUCUAGCUAAGGAGAUUCUUAGGCAAACCCAGGUAUUGGGCUCUUCCACUAACAGUAUCUUGCUACAGAUACAAAAGAAUCAGAAAAUGCAGCCCUGCCCGUGGCCUCUGGGCAACAUCUCACUCAGCAGCAUGAACCGUGCCCACUGACCCCCUCGGAAGUGACUGAUGCAGAAGGUGGAGUAUUGGCAUGCUUGCUGGUUCCCAGGAUGGGUCUCAGAAAGCUUGGAACUGAGGUGGAAUCAUGUUCAUGUUCCUCCCAGAGUAUAGAGCAGUUAGACGUUCAGUACCUUUCUGGAGAGAGAGGGGAGUGAAGAGUGCUCAAGGGAAUAAUUGCAUCAAUGCUCCCAGCACUCUGCCCUGCCCAUGGGAAGUCAGGUUGCACAGAGGCCAAUCUGAAAAAACAGUCAGAAUGCUCCCUGGACCAGAUCACAGGGAUACUUUGGGGUGCCUGUGCCCUUCAGCAGGUGGGUCUGGACAGAGGCUGCACACUGCAGGUUCCUCCCAUGUUUUUCUUCCUAAGGAUGAAACCACUCACAUGCAUGAUACACACAUGCCACUCACAUGCAUGCCACUCACAUGCAUGACACACGCACACCAUCUCUCCUGGGGGUACCUGACCGUCUGAACUUUAAAGUAAUUUACCUCAUUUACCUGUAAUGAACAUUCAUCCUGCUUUCUUCUUGUCCAGGGCUCCGAACAUCUUCUUUUCUUUGGGGAGCUCCUGCCUCCUGAGUCCCUGACUGUCUAGAGGAGCCAGAAACUCUUAUUUCUCAGAAAGGAGGGUGCAGGCAUGUGACCAAACUCACCAGAUAGAUGUACCCGCACCAGACUCAGAUUCAGAACCAGGGGCUCCAGGACGAAGCAAGGUCCCAUGGAAUCCACCCCGGUGGGGAGGCAGCAGAGGCUCCAGGGUAUCAUUGGAAGCCCCUCUGUGGUUGCCCUGCUCAGGGCAGGCUGCAGUGUUGUUUCCUGGAGCUGCUCUGCCGUGGGUGGCACAUUUGGGCCAUAUUCCAGAGCCCAGUUCCCAGGUCAUUCAAGUAGCCAGUGAUAAAUCCCAUUUCUGCUUAAACUCAAUACAAGUGGUUUCUGUUGUUUGCAACCAAGCCUGCCUGAGGCCUUCCACUGGCGCUGCACCUUUGCAAGGGAGACAUUCGGUGUGAUAUAUAACAGCAACUUUGGGAUGAACUCCACCUUACCAGACAAAGCUGGGAGAAGAACAAUCCCAGAUACCUGUUCGAGUCAAUGGACCACUAACUACGGCAAUGCAUUUUUUUAAUGCGCUUUUUAUAUCACUUGGAAUGCCCUGACCUCCCCACGUCCUCCUCUGUCCCACGCGGGUCCACCCUCCACAUCAUGGCCACUGUGAUCUUUCUCCACAAUGAUCUGGCGGUGCCACUGCCCAUGUGACACCUGUGCUGGGUUUCUCUGUCCCCACCCCAUCUUUCUUCUCCCUGCUGUGCCCACCCAGCCAUGCCAUAUGGACAAUCACUCUUGCUCUCUGUCUUCAAGUGCGAUUUGGCCAACAGAAGCAUGGGCGGGCCCUCAGAGGGCAGAAGAAUGGACUUGGACAUCUGUUACCCCCGCUCCUUCCCUGCCAGGUUGCCACAGAAUAUGGCUAGGGAGGAGUCCUGCUUCGAAGGAUUGAGAAGAUGUUGAAAUAAGAGCUCCCAAGGCAAAUUGAGAAGUGGGGAACGUGCUUGCAUUGAGAAAAAUGAAAGACAGACCCUUUCGAAGACACCUCCCAGGUUUCGAAGAGGAACCUCUGGGCAAGGCAGAGGAAAGACACUUGUGCUUUCACAGUUUGUAGUGGGAAUCAGCCAAAAAGUGCUAAAAAGGAUGGUAUUAUUGAGACAGGUGGCGAAAUCUGAAUACGGUCUGCAGAGGAGAGAAUACUACUGCAUCCAUGUUAAUUUUCCUGAUUUGAACAACUGUACUGGGUUAUGGAAGAUAAUGACUUGUUUUUAGGAAAGAUCCAUGAAACUAUUAUAAAGGGGCAUUAUACUUCAAAUGGCUCAGAUCUUAAAAGUAUGUAUUUAGACACAGAGCAAAAAUUAUAAAGCAAAUGUGGCAAAUUAUUAACAACCGAGGAAUCCUGCUAAAAGGUAUAUAUUAGUAGAAAGUUUUUGUGCCAUCCUUGCAACUUUUCAACUAAGUUUGAAAUGGUUUCAAAAUGAAAGUUUUCAAAAACACUUAAAAGCAUUUGCAAUAUGUUCAUUCAUUCUGUUUGAAUCUUGUUCCGUGAGAAUACAUUCAUGUGUUACUAGA